rnacentral:rRNA from 1 species
GAUGAACGCUAGCGACAGGCCUAACACAUGCAAGUCGAGGGGCAUCACAUGAAGUAGCAAUACGGAUGGUGGCGACCGGCGCACGGGUGAGUAACACGUAUGCAACCUGCCUUCAACAAGGGGAUAACCCGUUGAAAGACGGACUAAUACCCUAUAACACAGGGGUCCCGCAUGGGGAUAUUUGUUAAAGGACAACCGGUUGAAGAUGGGCAUGCGUUCCAUUAGCUAGUUGGCGGGGUAACGGCCCACCAAGGCAACGAUGGAUAGGGGAACUGAGAGGUUUAUCCCCCACACUGGUACUGAGACACGAACCAGACUCCUACGGGAGGCAGCAGUGAGGAAUAUUGGUCAAUGGACGCAAGUCUGAACCAGCCACGUCGCGUGAAGGAAGACGGCCCUACGGGUUGUAAACUUCUUUUAUACGGGAAUAAAGUGCCCCACGCGUGGGGUUUUGCAUGUACCGUAUGAAUAAGGAUCGGCUAACUCCGUG